CGGCCCCUGGACGAGACUGACGCUCAGUGCGAAGCGUGGGGAGCAAACAGGAUUAGAUACCUGGUAGUCCACGCUGUAAACGAUGUCGAUUUGGAGGUUGUGCCCUUGAGGCGUGGCUUCCGGAGCUAACGCGUUAAAUCGACCGCCUGGGGAGUACGGCCGCAAGGUUAAAACUCAAAUGAAUUGACGGGGGCCCGCACAAGCGGUGGAGCAUGUGGUUUAAUUCGAUGCAACGCGAAGAACCUUACCUACUCUUGACAUCCAGAGAACUUUCCAGAGAUGGAUUGGUGCCUUCGGGAACUCUGAGACAGGUGCUGCAUGGCUGUCGUCAGCUCGUGUUGUGAAAUGUUGGGUUAAGUCCCGCAACGAGCGCAACCCUUAUCCUUUGUUGCCAGCGGUUCGGCCGGGAACUCAAAGGAGACUGCCAGUGAUAAACUGGAGGAAGGUGGGGAUGACGUCAAGUCAUCAUGGCCCUUACGAGUAGGGCUACACACGUGCUACAAUGGCGUAUACAAAGAGAAGCGACCUCGCGAGAGCAAGCGGACCUCAUAAAGUACGUCGUAGUCCGGAUUGGAGUCUGCAACUCGACUCCAUGAAGUCGGAAUCGCUAGUAAUCGUAGAUCAGAAUGCUACGGUGAAUACGUUCCCGGGCCUUGUACACACCGCCCGUCACACCAUGGGAGUGGGUUGCAAAAGAAGUAGGUAGCUUAACCUUCGGGAGGGCGCUUACCACUUUGUGAUUCAUGACUGGGGUGAAGUCGUAACAAGGUAACCA
rnacentral:rRNA from 1 species